GGGGUUGACUGGAUUUGACAGCAGGAUGAGAUGGUAUGUAAGCAUGCGGAGUGACGGCUGUAUACUCCAUAAUCCAUUCGGUCGAAAAUUUAAUUGGCAACAAUGAGUAUGCUCUCGCUGCCUAAUCGAAGUACAGUAGAUUGAGGCUCAAUUCCGCUACCAGGUAGCAGAACGAGACGUCGCUCCGAGGAUGUUGUUCCGAAUCCAGAGAUCAAGCGGCGCAGGUUAAAUCGGGAAUAGUCUUGUCAGGCCCCGAUGGCAGGAUGAAACUUUAGGGGAUAAGGCUGCGGUUGGUGGCUUGGGUCUUGCUGCAGCACGAAAAUGAAGGCCAAGAUAAGCAUGUAGAAAGCGUAUGGUUUCCCUGUUUGGACGAGGGUUCGACUCCCUCCAGCUCCACCA
rnacentral:tmRNA from 1 species